rnacentral:lncRNA from 1 species
CACUGGACCUGGGAGAUACGUCAUCCUCCCUCUUUAUGCAGGAAAAUCUUGUCAUCCCUCAGAUCUAGAUUAUAUAAAGGUCCAGUUUACAGAUAUAGGGAAAAACACUCCCAUUUCUAUUUGGUCUACUUGGUCCUACUUUUGGGGAAUAGUUUACAAUAAGUAUGGAAACCAACCUGGAUCCUUGAUCCAGAUUCAACACACAAUGGAAAGUUUGCCAUCACCCCCCAGUGGGCCCUAAUAAGGUCCUGCCUGAUUAAGGGUCUCCAAAAGCCCUAGCACCACCUCCGAGGUCAAAAAGCCCCAGUAACUCCCCCAGCAGCUCCACCCGUG